rnacentral:lncRNA from 1 species
UAUUUGUCUUGAGGUUUUGGUUUUUCAAGACAUGGUCUCUCUGUGUAGCUUUGGCUGUCCUGGAACUCACUCUGUAGACCAAGAUGGCUUCAUCUGCCUGCCUCUAUGUCCCAUGUGCUGCCCUUUACUUUUACUUUGUGUGUAUGUGGUUUUUAAAAAAUCAUUGUUGUGCUUAAUCUGUCCAAAACAUUAAGUAACAACUCAUAGCUGUUACUUACAUGCUUUCUCUCCUUCAGGGUUGUCAGCCUAUUUGCACUCCUCUUUAAACAUCUGGGGAACUAUGGAAUGAAUAAGCCAAAGAAAAUCAGAAUUCAUGAAUUCAGAGACAACCUUUGGGAAUCACUUCUCCCUUCUACUGUAUUCUGUGAGCUCUCAGCUACUGCUCCAGCACCCUGCCUUCCUGCCACCAAGAUCCCUGCCAUGAUGGUCAUGGACUCACCCUCUGGAACUGUA